GCUCAACCACACUUCCCUUUGCCAUGCUCUUCCUCCAACCCCUCAGAAAACCUGCUCUUCCAUGCUGAACUGGAACAAAUGGCAAUUGGGCUUUCUAUGGAUUGCCAUUGGUUCUGAUUUAGCACUAAAGAGCAGGUCCUCCAGGGGAAAGCAGUGGGAAGAGCAAAACCACUCAGACCCAUGCCUAGAAAAGAGGAUAAGUGGUUCAGGCCCGUGUUUUCUAGGCAUGAGAAAAGCAGAAGUGUAUACGAGCCUCUUGGGUAGGGUUGUCAUAUUUCAAAAAGUAAAAACCAGGAAACCACCAAAAUUGUUGAGCUGUUUUCAGACAAACCCCAAAGCUGUUGAGCAGGACAAAGCCACCUCUUGGAAAUCCCCCCUGGAUGUCAAUUCCACCUUUGAAAUGCCGGACGUCUGGCAGCUCUACUCUUGGGUGCUGCCAAUGCAGAGGUUUGACUUCAUUGUAAGAGGCACACUUUAUUGUCUCUUGAGGCAGACGGAUGCUCACAGCUCUCACUCUGAUUGGUUAAAAGGAGGGAGGGAGGGUGUGUGUGUGUAGCUGGAAUAUGGGAAAGGGGGAACAGACUUGAAGUGUUGGAAUUGAAGGGCUGCAAGGAAAAGAAAGGACUGGAACACUUUUAACAAAUCUGGAAUACAGUCAUACUUCUUCUUGCAAACGCUUCAUGUUGCAUUUUUUCAGGUUAAGAAUGCAGCAAACCUGGAAGUGUUUACUUCCUGGUUUCGCCACAUGCGCAGAAGCGUCCUGCGCGGUUUGUGCAUGCACAGAAGCACUCUAUUGUGCUUUGCACGUGCGCAGAAGUGCCACUCUUAUGGACUUUUCGGGGCACCCCAGAACGGAUCGUGUCCAGAACCAGAGGUACCACUGUACUGGAAAGUGUCAGCAGGCAUGGUUGGAGCUCAGCAGCAGAAAGAAGCUAGGAGAAAGCUGAUGUACACAAAUUUUGAGCAAGGUGCUCGGGAGAGUAGUGUUGAUUCAGCUGCAGGUGCUCUUGAAUUAAACUCAUUUUUUGACUCAUUUCAGUGUGGAUUCAGGUUUCGCUUGGGGACAGAAUUAACCUUGGUUGCCCUGAUGGAUUACGAUUUGCAGGAGGAAAUCAGGGUAAGUGGUACCCUGUUGCUUCUGUUCACUCAGUGGCCUUUGAUACCAUCUCUGGUAUCGAUCAUCUCUUGAGGUUGAAGGCAUUGUUUUGUGGUGGUUUCAUUCCUAAUUGCAGGAUUGGUGCCAGAAAAUAUCAUUGGGUGACUUGUCUAAGCUUCAGGCACAGGACUAAUGAGAAGUUUCAACAGUGCCAUAUUGUCUUGUCCCUUGGCCUCCCUGAGACUCUGAGCGUGCUGAUAUUUGACCUUUUCACCUGCAAUCUGUAAAGAGGUUUAAUUACUCCACAAUGAAAAGAAAACUCCAUGAGUUUUAAAGUUACCUUAAUAAUGGCACCCUCUCUUUUUAUUAGUUUUGUCCAUCUUGCAGUUCUGCUCAGGUUGUAAGCCAGUGUAAGGCAUGGUUAAUUGGGAUAUGGGGGGAGUGAGUGGCACUGUGGUCUAAAUCACUAAACCUCUUGGGCUUGCCAAUCAGAAGGUUGGUGAUUCUCAUCCCAUGGUUGCUGGUUCACAUCCCAUGGCAUCACUAUAAUUCUGGAUAAAUGUUGAAUAUGAAUUGUUCUGAUGCACAUACAAAAAGCAGGUUCAGGUUAUUUUUCUUGCUCCUGGUUAGUGGCUAAGUCUUGUACAGUGGUACCUUGGUUUAUGAACUUAAUCCGUUCUGGAAGUCCAUUCUUAAACCAAAGCGUUCUUAAACCAAGGCGUGCUUUCCCAUAGCAGCGGGGGACUCAAUUUACACUCAACAGGAAGUGGAACAUGUUCUGCUUCCAAGGCAAUGUUCACAAACCAAAACACCUACUUCUGGGUCUGCAGCCUUCUUAAUCCAAGUUGUUCAUAAACAAAGCUGUUUUUAAACCAAGGUACCAUUGUACUGUGUUAGUUUUGGCUAGGGGCAUGAAUCUCUAUAAAAUGGUGAACAGCAGUGUCAUUAACUUUAUACCUGCAUAACUCCUUCAUGAUAGUCCUUUAGACUCCAUUUGAAGUUCUCUCUAUUGCCACAAAACUCAUAAGAUUUGAAAUGGAAAUGUAAGUGACAACAGUAAUAAGAGAAGCAAACGACAAGCACAAGCUCAGAUUAUUUAAUGUAGUCUCUGAUUUAUAUGUUUUUGUUAGUUUUGUCUGAAAUAGAAAAUAGCAUACAUGAAAGCAACCUUGUGUUAUGUGUGACCUUUUUCAAAAGUUCUAAGUGGCUUGUUUAAUUUUACACCCACCAGUUUGGAGUAUAUAGACAUCUGAUCUUUUACUUGUGUUUUAACUGACAUAUUUUAUAUGCCAAAGUCUAUUAAAUGUAGCACUGCUUUUGCAAAUAAGGUUGCUUAGAUUUUUAAUCCCUCUCCCAAUAUGCCACUUAGCUAAUUUUUUUUGUUCUUUCAAAUCCUCCUUUUAGACAUUUCCACAGACUUUUCUGAGAAAUUCAAUUUCUUCCUAUUAUAGGUUAAUGCCCUUUUGGAAGGCAAGUGGGGCUUAUUUCCCCCCACCCACCCAGAAUUUGUCAGAGGAGUUCUUGGCUAUUAAACGUUUCUGUCAGAGAGCAGGAAUAACAUUUUGAAAAGAUCACUUACACAUAAAAAUGGUGAGCAUUAAAAAUGGUCAGUGAGCAGUUCCAGAGAUAACCUUAGUGUCUGAUUUCUUAACAUGGUUGGGGUGGGAAGAAAGCACACACUUUGUGCAGCCCAAGUGGUUCAUGCCGCACAGGAUUAUGGGUGGUGUAGCAGGCAGAUGCAAAAUUGAGAAGAUCCGUAACUGAGAAGGUCCAUUGGGGGACACCAACUUUUGGCCUCACUGAGGGCGCCAUAUUAUGAAAGAUUACCUAAGUCCACCCCUGAGUUUAUGGGUGGAAAUAGUGUAUUGAGGUGAGAACCUGACACAAGAGAAGAGCCACAGAGAGUGAAAUUUCAGCAUCGGAAGCUGAGGUGCUCUGCAAGAAUCCAUAUCUCUAGCAAUGUCAGAAGUUCAACUUCUAGUCUGCUAAGAUUUUGUUUAAGGGUAAGUUGUUAUUGUACAUAAAUGGUAGCAAGUUUGUUAUCCUUGGUGGUCAGUGUUCAGAAAAGUGUUAAUGACAUUUCUUCUGUGUCAUGUUGUCCACUAGUGGGUGCCCAUUCAUGGGUAAACAUUUUUUUUAAAGGGGCAUUUUUUGAUAUCCUUCAGUGGUCCAUAGGACUCCACCAGGGGACUUGCACAAGAUGUUAACAGCCUUACAAAAGCUGACGUCUGAGCUGCUAAAUAGUGUCAUUAAAACUGUUGUCCUUUAAGGUUCUGCUCCUAGUGGCUGUAACUCCUGAAAUUAGAGUUUCUGACCUCAAAGCAUUUUUGGUGGCUAAAUAUGUGUUUCUCAUUUAGAUAGGGUAGUCCUUGAGAUGGAUCUUUCAUUCAUUCUGAAGGUUAAUUCCAUAAUCCAGUGGCUUUCACCCAGUGUGUCAUGGCACCCUGGGGUGCCUUGAAUGAUGGUCAGGGGUGCCAUGGGCAACACUGGCCACUGUCCCUCUUUCCUUCCCUCCCUUCCUCUGAUGCCUUCUCAUGGCUCUGCCUCCCAAAGGCUUGCACAGCUAUUUGUUGCAGCUGCCCUGGUUUCAAGCACCCCAGGUGAAUGGUGCCUCUGGGGCUGGCCAGGGGGUGUUUCCCAGGCCCCUGUGGGGCAAUGUGAGGAGGGACCUCUCUUUGGGGUGGGGGGAGGCAGCUCAGAGACCAGGGGCGACAGCAGCGGCUUCCCAGAGGACUCCUAAGGAGAGAGGAGAAGAGAGGCGGCUGAGGGAACACUUCACAAGGCAGGGUGUUCAAAAAAGGGUGAGGGGCUUUGCAGGCAAAGGGUGACAUAACUGGGCUCCUGAGCCCCACAGGGGUGCCACAGAAAGAAUGUAGCUGGCCAAGGGAGCCAUGGACUCAAAAAGGUUGAAAACCUCUACCAUAACCCAUAGACAGCAUGAAUUAAUUUUGCCAAUUUUUUGAUCAUUACAUUCCCUGAGAAAGAAUGGCAUGCUUUGGAUGUGAAGUGAGCACUUAAUGCAUCCAUCAACAGGAUUCGACCAAUCAAACAGAUUCAUUUUUAGUUUCAUUUCACCCAAAUUCUCUUUAGGAAGAAAGUGACUAGUUCAUCCUUGGCAAGUUGGAUCUGGGAUUGCACACAGCUUGCUUCUGGAAAAUUUCACUUGCUCGUUCCUUAACGUGUUACAGCAUGUUCUACUAGGUCUGUGGCAACAUUUGCUUCCAAUGCUCCUCUGCAAGAGGUGUGUGUCGGCAGCUGUGUGAGAAAACCCAUCAGCAUUUAUCCAACAUGACAGAAGUAUGCCUCAGCAGAGGCCGCAUUUGGGUAACAGAUAUCACAACAAGUUCUUUAGCAGUGGCCAGCUGUUCCCACCCAGUAGGUUCCAUAGCUUUAGUGUAAUUUGCCAUGAUAUGUGUUCAUCACCUCCAGAGAAGGAACAGUUGGUUCUCACCUGAACUUUGUUUCUCGGAGGUGUUGAAUACAGUGGUACCUUGGGUUACAGACACUUCAGGUUACAGACACUUCAGGUUACAGACUCAGCUAACCCAGGAAUAGUACCUCAGGUUAAGAACUUUGCUUCAGGUCGAGAACAGAAAUUGCGCAGCAGCGGUAGCGGGAGGCCCCAUUAGUACCUCAGGUUAAGAACAGUUUCAGGUUAAGAACAGACCUCCAGAACGAAUUAAGUUCUUAACCCAAAGUACCACUGUACAUGGAAUGGGCCUACCCAGUCGGCCACUCUUCCAUUUUUUUUCUAUAAGCAUGCCCCCCCCCCAAAGUUAUCAUUAGAUAGUUUGUUGCUGGUUUAUUUUUUUUCAGCUAUUAGUUUCCUUACAUGAGUUUGAAGCUACUUAGCCUGUUCAUGUAGCUUGUCAUUCAAUGGACUGAGAUUAUGGGAGCAUGUCAUCUGGGCAAAGGCCAGUCUGUGUUUCCCUCUUUUGAUGCAAAAAAGCAGCAAUGCUAGCUAAAUAAAUAAAUAAGAACCCAUUGUGCCAUGCGUUCAACACCUCAUCUGUUCCUUUUGUCAGAUUUUAAGACUUAUUUCUGCCCCUACGGGCUAUCAGCUUCCUCAAAAGUAACUAGACUCCAUGAACCCAGAGACUCUCUUGAGACCCAUUAAGUUCUCCUAACCCUGCUACACAGCAUGAUAGAGCUACGCUUGAUUUCCUUGCAGAUGGACGAAUGAACGUGGAAAUGUGAGGGGGGAAACAAAACAUGAUGAAGAAUGUUGACAAAAAGAGCCUUUGACGAGG